AUGUGACCCUGGUUUCGUUGACUGCACUCACCAAAAACAAUUUAGCAAAAAAAAAAAACAAUAAACGAAGAUGCCCAAGAAACCACCUUAGUCAUAUUUACGCUUCGCACCCGCUUCAUCCUUGUCCAACUAACUAAUCAGAACUGUUCUCACGGAUCCUUCAACUUUUUUAUUUUCUUUUCUGGUGUUUAAUUGACGACCCACCUGCCAAGCGUAAACCAUUUUUAUUGAUUGGUUUAUGCAACAGAAAUUUCCUCAGUUAGGGUUUUUAUAUAUAAUUUUUUUCUCAAUUUCUUAAUUCUUGUGAUCAUUAUUCGAAAUUUCAACCUACCCUUUGUAAUUCAUGGCUUCGAGUUUUGACCGGUGGGAAAAAGAUCCAUUUUUCAGGGCUGCCGAAGAAGUUCAGGAAUCUGCAGAUAGGAUGGAAUCUACAUAUAGGAUAUGGGUACACGCAACAAAAGAUGCGUCCAGCAUGUGGAACUCUGAUGAACUGUGCCGAGAUCUACAUACUGCCUUUGGCACUGCUAAAUGGCAGUUAGAGGAAUUUGAACGGGCAGUGAGGUCAAGUUAUAGCAAAAGCUCAAGCGAGGAAGCACGAAAUAGGCACAGAAAUUUUAUCACUGCCAUUGAUGAUAAGAUAAUGAAAGUUGAGCAUUUGUUAAAUGAAUCAAUGCCUCCGAACAGCAAAGCAUCUCUGCCUUGGUUGCGUUUAGAUGAAGGAGAACAGAAUGAGCUUGCUUUGUUUCUUUCAGGAAUGCCAGCAGCUACGACUACCAAUAACUCUUGGUCUAACAGCAGGGACAUUGAAAGUCCACAAUUAAGUGAUCAAGUUUCGGCCAGAAAUUAUUCAAAGAAUUUUGAUGUUUCAUCUCGGUGGGGUGAAUCAGAGGAGGAGAUAUCCCAUGGGCAUCGUAGGGUAGCUAGUGCCAGUGCUGAUAUCAGUUCUUGGAAAAUUUCAGUUUCUGAUGAUGCACAGCAAUGGAGUUCUUCCAGCGGUUCUUCUGGUCCGAUGCAUAAGGUAGCCAGUUUAUCAGGAUUUCUUAGUUCCAUGGAAUCUGUCUCUAAGUUGAAGUGGCCUGGGAAUGGUUAUAGAAAGCUGAAAGUAGAAGAUCCUCGUAAAGGAACUGAUAGUGCACUACUUUCAACAGCUCAAUUGAAUAGGGGAAAUGAUGUAUGCUACGAUAGAAAUAAGAGCAGCCUUGAUAGCUGUGAUAAAUUCUAUGACAAGCAACUCUAUGGAUGGUAUGGUACUAUUCAAAGGCAGCUUCAAAGAUCUCAAUACCAAAUGCAAUACCGUCAGCAUGUCCGAAUAAUUGUUUGGAUUGUUGUUCUCCUUUGCUUGAUCGCUUUAAUUGCAUUUCGCGCAAUGUAGAAGGAAGACAGAGAUACACGACUGUCCAUUUGUAGCUGGAGGCAGCACAAGAUACAAGCUUUUGAUAACACACGUUUAUAUAGCCUGGAUUGUCACUUGAUCAGGGUUCAGAGAGAUAGACAUUGGAACAGCAGCGUUGUUACAAACAAAACACGCAACAUAAACAAGGAAAAUAACUUCUCCCCUCAUGUUUUAUUCAUUAAUAGAAAACCCCACCUCUCAAUCAAACCCCUUAAGGCACAAUCUUGUAUUCUUUGGCCUUAUCUAUCCAAUUCACAAACGAAUCCUUGGAGUUUCUAAAUCCGAAAAAGCUAUGCUCUUUGGCCUUGUUCAUGCUAUCUAACACGGCCUCCAUUCCCAACAUAACAUCCGCAAACCACCAAUCCCCAACCUCUUCAAGCUUAGUUUGCUGCAACCCAUUCUCCCUCACUAUCUCUUCCCACACGGGACCCUUAUCCUUCAUCAUCUCCGACAACCUCAACUUAGAACCUUCUAGAAACCCAUAUUCCUCAAUCCCGAACCGUUCAGCCAACACCUUCCACAAAUGCUUCCACUUGUAAACAUCCCCAUUGCUGCAGUUAAAGACAUUGUUCUUGGCAUGAGGCUCCACCGUACCCCAAAUGUGCUGCUCCGCAAUCAAAUCAGCAUCGGAAGCAGCGGAAUAGCACUCCCACGCUUCUUUGAUACCUGGAAACCACAAGGGAACACCCUCAUGCUUGCAAAUAGCAGCAUAAACACAGAGAGUCCCAACAAGGUUCAUCAAACUGUAAGGAGAAAAACCAAAGAUAACAUGUGGUCGGUUAAUGAACCACGUCAACCCCUCCUUCUUUUGAACCUCUUCGAACAAUAUAUCUUCCUGGGUAUAAUAGAAAUUCGGUGCCUCCAAACGUGGUAAGUCCUCUGUGAACGGUGGGUCAUGGAAAUCGAUCUUCCCGAACAGUUCGAAUGGUCCUACGUAGUGCUUGGUACCUGUCUGGAGUGACACGUGGCGGAGAUUGGGAGCGUUUGGGAUGACCGCGCGUAGGACAUUUCUGAACAUGGCACCGUUGACCUCGCAGUUUUGGGCCUCCGUGGGUCUGCUUGUCCACGAAACGUAGAAGAUGUGAGUGACGUCGGUUAAACAUGAGAGCUUCGAUUCGGCGUCGUUUUGAGCGGAGAUAUCGCACUGGAUGUAGUGAACGGAAUGACCGGCGUUCCAGGUUGGUCGGGGACGGCGAGCGACUCCGUAAACCUUCCAUGGACCACCGGGUGUGUCGGUGAGAGGUAGAAUCUCCGCAAGGCUAUUGCCUACUAUGCCCGUCACGCCUAUAACGAGUGCCACGCUUUGUGGUGCUUGGGUUAGGUUAGAGUUCUGCAUGUGAACAAGAGAAAAUCAAAACAGUUAAAGGAGUAAAAGGAAAGUUAUAAAACAAAAUAGAACGGAAAAAUGAACUGUGAACAUGCUUUGACAAUGCUAUCGGUUGCUCCAGCCCACCACCUUUUCAUUUUUUCUGUGAUUUGGUUUGAUUUUGCAAAGCAACAAGAGCGGAUACCCCAAUGAAUUCAUUAUGUUUCUUCAUUUAUAAACAAUCUUGCUUUGAAUAGUUUUCAGAUGAACAUGAACACUAAUAUUAUU